AUGCUCGCAUAUGCAGCGUAUAUGCUAAAAUUGGAAUAAAGAGAUUAGCAUGGCCCCUGUGCAAGGAUGACAUGCAAAUUUGUGAAGGGUUCCAUACUUAA
ensembl:snRNA U6 U6 spliceosomal RNA